rnacentral:rRNA from 1 species
UCGAGGAUCUUCGUCAAUGGGGGAAACCCUGAACGAGCGAUGCCGCGUGAGCGAUGAAGGCCUUCGGGUUGUAAAGCUCAAAAGAGGUGAGAAAGGGAAACUUGAUCAAACCUCAGUAAGCUCGGGCUAAGUUCGUGCCAGCAGCCGCGGUAAGACGAAGGGAGCUAGCGUUGUUCGGAAUCACUGGGCGUAAAGCGCACGUAGGCGGAUAGUUAAGUCAGGGGUGAAAUCCUGGGGCUCAACCCCAGAACUGCCUUUGAUACUGGCAAUCUAGAGUCCGGAAGAGGUUAGUGGAAUUCCCAGUGUAGAGGUGAAAUUCGUAGAUAUUGGGAAGAACACCAGUGGCGAAGGCGGCUAACUGGUCCGGUACUGACGCUGAGGUGCGAAAGCGUGGGGAGCAAACAGGAUUAGAUACCCCAGUAGUCCCUGAGCGGGCUGGCAAGGCGCAU